rnacentral:rRNA from 1 species
UACGUAGGGGGCAAGCGUUGUCCGGAUUUAUUGGGCGUAAAGAGCGUGUAGGCGGCUAGAUAGGUCCGUUGUGAAAACUCGAGGCUCAACCUCGAGACGUCGAUGGAAACCAUCUGGCUAGAGUCCGGAAGAGGAGUGUGGAAUUCCCGGUGUAGCGGUGAAAUGCGCAGAUAUCGGGAAGAACACCCGUGGCGAAGGCGGCACUCUGGGACGGUACUGACGCUGAGACGCGAAAGCGUGGGGAGCGAACAGG